AUUCAAUCAUGACAUGAUCCAUGUGGAUGCUGUCCAUUGAAGAAAGAGUUUGUUCAGCGGUUUCUGGAUAGAAUUAAUUCCAAAGAUGGGAAAAAGUGCACAUCCAGACAAGGAGCAAGCAAAAAGACAAGGAACUUGGUGCAGAGAAAAGCUGUGGCCAUUAACCCCCAUGUGAACAGCUUCAUGCAGUCCCUGAUUGAGUUCGAAUGGACGACUUCAAAGUAAAGGCCAGUGUGGUCUGUCUGCCACAGUUUAAUGCAUUUAUUUUUAGUGUUAAAUGAAAUUUAAGUAGAAUAUUUAAAACUAUGGGCCAGUGUUCUUUUUACCACAGUGAAAUGUUACCUUUUAGUCGAUGAUGGACUUUAAACUGAAAACUUCAAACUAUGGAACAGUGUUCUAUUUGCCAGAGUUAAAUAUGUUACAGCAGGGGUCUCCAAACUUGUUUAUACUUGUUGAUUUUAUUUUAUGUUACUUGAUUAUAUGUUUAUUAUUGUUUAAAAUCUUGUUUUAAAUAUGUUUGUUUCAAUUAAAUGUUUUUUUAAAUAAAAUUUUGAUACAUA